rnacentral:tRNA from 3 species
CUGGGUGUGGCGCAGUUGGGAGCGCGGGAGUUUUGGGAACUCCAGGUCGUAGGUUCAAUCCCUACCACUCAGA